rnacentral:lncRNA from 1 species
GUAAGGGCUAAUUUAGGGAAAAUACAAAUCUUUGUUUUGAGGGACUUUCUUGUUUUGUUUUUUGAGACAGUGUCUCGCUGUUGAAAAUGUGGAUCUUCACACUGUUAAAUCUCCUAACUGAUAAACAGGCGUCCUGCUCUGCAGCUUCCUUGGUCAACGCUCCCCAUGCCGAAGAGCCGGGCGUUGGCACGGGCCGCGAGCGCCUGGAAGUUCUUUCCUUCCUCUGCGACAGCCUUGGCCUCCUCUGGCAGACGCUCCCGAUGGGCAUCGCAGGUCCUGUGAGCCGGGUGGCCAGUUUGAGGUCGUCAGCAGAGCAUGUCCCUUCUUCAGGGCGGUGGCUUCCCGGGGAAGAGGAUGAGUUUGCCGCAUGUUUCAGCGCCCCCACGCUGCCCCGCAGACUCGGGGGGUUUGUCCCCUGCUGGGGUCCGCUGCGGGGCCGCGGCCUGGGCCACCUCCUCGUGGAUACCAGCCACCCACAGCUCCUCAGACUGACGCCCCUGCCGGCUCAGACCUCGGUGUGGUGUCACACGGGAUGGGUCUGGACGCGGCAGGGGUCAGGGUCAGGGUCAGGGUCAGGGUCAGGGUCAGGGUCAGGGUCAGGGUUAGGGUUCGGUUUAGCGGAAGGUUUUAGGGUUAAGGUUUAG